UAGGGAAUCUUCCACAAUGGACGCAAGUCUGAUGGAGCAACGCCGCGUGAGUGAAGAAGGCUUUCGGAUCGUAAAGCUCUGUUGUUGGUGAAGAAGGAUAGAGGCAGUAACUGGUCUUUAUUUGACGGUAAUCAACCAGAAAGUCACGGCUAACUACGUGCCAC
rnacentral:rRNA from 1 species